UUGAACAGUUCUCAGCUUGGUUUUGGGCCCAUUGUUCCACAGCCAACUCUGAAUGCUCUCUGUGACCAAAGUUAGACUUUAAUCUCAUCUUCUCCUUUUCUUUAGUAUCUUAGGAAAAUAGUUGUACACAGGAAUGAUGGUGGUAAGAAUAUAUUUUAUUACAUUGUUAAUCAGCUCCUCUUUUGUUCUCUUCUAGCUUCUUUACCUAAUGCUGGCGGAACUCUUCUCUAACAGCUUGAAUAUGAAACGUUCCCCCGGCCACCGGUACUGUCAGCGAGCACCACCGGACAACACCCCCGAUCAUCUCCUCCAUCUCCUCCACUCUACCAGCACUUUUUUUAAAGGCACUAAAUAUGUGAAAGGUUUUGUAUAUAAGUACUGUGUGACUACUGAACAAGGACAAGAUGAAGACUUUUGAUAGAUGCGCUUAGCAGGUUCUAUCACAUCCUACUGAAACAAACGCAGCAUAUUUCACUGGAGAAGUGUUGGCCCACAUAUAAGGCCAAAAUAAAGACUAAGUAAGCAACUGAGAAGACUGUUUAAGUACCACCAUGUGUACUGAAUAGAGGAAGAGAACAGCUAUCCUUACUGUAUCCAGAGUGUUUUUUAUUGGUUAGGUCAAUCUGGGUGGACAUAUUUCAGGUUUGUCCUUGAACACAGAAAUAACAUUGUUUUGUUGCUCUAUUAAUGACGCUGAUAAAAUACACUCACUGACCAAAACAAUUUAGUAAUCAAGUUAAGUCCUCUUGGGAUAUGAAUAAAAACUGACCUGAACUCAACUGAAAUUCCAGAAGGAAUGUAAUCUUGUCCACAUGCAGACCAGUGACAGAUGUGUAAAUGGCUUGAUUUGCAAGACACUUGCAUGUUUAGAACAAGGUAGAGUGAGCAGAAGUAUUACAAGUAAUUGCUGGAACAUCCCACAGUUAAAACAGCAAGUGAAUGUUAAGGUUUAAAACAUAGAAACAGACAGCAGCCUCAGUUUAAUUCAGGUUGCAUUAUCUAGUCUGCAAAGGAUCACAGAGAAAUGACUCACCAUUUCUCUGUGAUCCUGAACACAUACAUUACUGAACACAUUAAUGUAUUUUCCACCACUUUAAGAUCAUCUCUAUUCAGGGCCUUGUCUAUUAUACAGAUAUCUCUCAUCAAGCCUCUAAAUCUGCUUUGGCCCAGAGGUCUGAUGGCAUCAGACACAGCUGCCACUGAUGCCAUGAUACCACUGACCACCACCAGCAGGCAAGGUGAGUGAAGUGUGUUGCCCAAGAACACAAUGAAUAAGACAGAUGGAGCAAGGGUUCAAACUGGCAACCCACUGGUUACAGGAUGAAUCUGUAGUUUUACUCAGAUCUUCACCAUAGCAUCAGGCUAUAAGUUCCAGAGCAGGCCCAGCAGUAACCCUUCUGCGGUCUUAAGAGACGGGGUCACUUAGACCUCACAGGCUUCAGCCUGUCCAUGGUUCAGCGGAUUGGACCAACUCUACAGGCGUUUUUACAAGUUUUUUUUUUUUUUGUCAGGUUUCGGAAACUGUCAGGCUGAAGGGACAGCCCCCCACUUUCCUGCUGUCCGAUGUGACAUCUGCUGCACUCCUCUUGAGCAUCACGCUAAGACCACGAAAGGGCUAAAGUGAGGAUGUUAGCUGUCAGCAUCACAAUACUGCUGUACUUAGAGAUGUUGCCAUGGAAAUAGUCACAAACCACAACAGUGGCUGAUUUACAGUUGUAAAUGACCCAACCUGUUUAUCCAGAGGAGGAAAAUUAGCAGGAAAAUGCAGUGGUAUUGUUACUGUUACCCAUCCUCCAAGGAUGCAACCACAGGCUAUGCAUCCUUUACUUGCUCAGCUGGUCAAAAGCCACGUUGUCUUUGUUGAUUGUAAAGCUCCUGAUGUGGAAAGACUCAGUCAUUUAAACACAGAGGUGCUCCUGUACAUACUUGGUGUCUGCUAUAGGUGACAUACCAAUCACCAGUCUGCAUGUGCACUAAAUGACAUUCACAAACAGACCAGGGACCUCAUGUACAAAGGCUACAAAAGCAUAAAAAACUUGCACUUUCCACAAGAAAGUUCAGUUCUAUCAAUUAGAAAUGUGAUCCAAGGUUACGCUAACCUUGGAUCACAUGCAGCUAUUGAUGUUUUUGAGACACCUAGAAAUUACGCUGCAAAAAUAUCAAACGCAAUCCAUCCAUUUUGUCUCAAUACACUUGCUUGUCUGUGUAAAGCCAGAGGGUGCUAGUGUCAGUCUCCACCAGUCAUUGGGUGAAAGAUGGGGUAUAUCCUGAACAGGUUGUCAAUCCAUCACAGGGCAACACAGAAACAGACAACCACACACACUUUCGUCUGUAAGGAUAAUUUAGACAAAACACUUUAUCUAAUGUUCAUGGAAUUUUGGAUGGUCUUGGAAGCCACAGUACCCCGAGACAAGCCAUGUAAGCACAGGGAAAAGUCGCAAACUUUUAACUUUUGAUCUAGGACCUUCUUCUCCAUGUGGCCAUUCAGCACACAUCCUACACAUGAAGAAUGUAUCCAUACCACCAGUCUAAGGCACAAAUCAACAUUGUGCUGCA